rnacentral:rRNA from 1 species
GAUGAACGCUAGCGACAGGCUUAACACAUGCAAGUCGAGGGGCAGCAGGGGAGUAGCAAUACUCCCGCUGGCGACCGGCGCACGGGUGAGUAACACGUAUGCAACCUGCCCUUGUCAGGGGGGUAAGCGGAAGAAAUUCCGUCUAAUACCGCAUAACGCUGCGGGGAGACAUCUCCCUGCAGCCAAAGAUUUAUCGGACAAGGAUGGGCAUGCGGCGCAUUAGCUUGUUGGCGGGGUAACGGCCCACCAAGGCGACGGUGCGUAGGGGUUCUGAGAGGAAGGUCCCCCACACUGGUACUGAGACACGGACCAGACUCCUACGGGAGGCAGCAGUGAGGAAUAUUGGUCAAUGGCCGGGAGGCUGAACCAGCCAAGUCGCGUGAGGGAAGACGGUCCUAUGGAUUGUAAACCUCUUUUGUCAGGGAGCAAAAACUGCCACGCGUGGCAGGAUGAGAGUACCUGAAGAAAAAGCAUCGGCUAACUCCGUGCCAGCAGCCGCGGUAAUACGGAGGAUGCGAGCGUUAUCCGGAUUUAUUGGGUUUAAAGGGUGCGUAGGCGGACAGUUAAGUCAGCGGUAAAAUUGAGAGGCUCAACCUCUUCCCGCCGUUGAAACUGAUUGUCUUGAGUGGGCGAGAAGUAUGCGGAAUGCGUGGUGUAGCGGUGAAAUGCAUAGAUAUCACGCAGAACUCCGAUUGCGAAGGCAGCAUACCGGCGCCCAACUGACGCUGAAGCACGAAAGCGUGGGUAUCGAACAGGAUUAGAUACCCUGGUAGUCCACGCAGUAAACGAUGAAUACUAAUUGUUCGGGUCGAGUGAGAUCUGAGUGAUACAGCGAAAGCGUUAAGUAUUCCACCUGGGGAGUACGCCGGCAACGGUGAAACUCAAAGGAAUUGACGGGGGCCCGCACAAGCGGAGGAACAUGUGGUUUAAUUCGAUGAUACGCGAGGAACCUUACCCGGGCUCAAACGACACAGGAAUGAUCUGAGAAAUCAGGCAGUCCUUCGGGACCUGUGUCGAGGUGCUGCAUGGUUGUCGUCAGCUCGUGCCGUGAGGUGUCGGCUUAAGUGCCAUAACGAGCGCAACCCCCAUCGACAGUUGCCAGCAGGUCAAGCUGGGCACUCUGUCGAGACUGCCGGCGCAAGCUGUGAGGAAGGCGGGGAUGACGUCAAAUCAGCACGGCCCUUACGUCCGGGGCGACACACGUGUUACAAUGGCAGGUACAGCGGGAAGCCACCUGGCGACAGGGAGCGGAACCCGAAAGCCUGUCUCAGUUCGGAUUGGAGUCUGCAACUCGACUCCAUGAAGCUGGAUUCGCUAGUAAUCGCGCAUCAGCCACGGCGCGGUGAAUACGUUCCCGGGCCU